ACAGUAGGGAAAGAGGUAGUUGUUUGGGCUAAAUUAUAGGUGGGCUAUGUACAGGUGCAGUAAUCUGUGAGCUGCUCUGACAGUUGGUGCUUAAAGCUAGUGAGGGAGAUAAGUGUUUCCAGUUUCAGAGAUUUUUGUAGAUUUGAGGAAUAAUGGGGUUAAGUGAACUGGGGAAAUCUUCAGGGGCUGUAGUAUUUAAUUAUGUAUUUCGUUUCCUUAGGUAGAUGAGAUUAUUGGGUAUGAUUUAGACCUUCACUGUCUCUGGUCCAAACUCCAGUCAAUUUUGUGACAGCCAGGAAGAUACAACUUUGAAUGUUAGCUAAAAUGCUUAACUAAUCAUGAAGUUAGCAUGCCAAUAGGACGAACUCCACAAUAACUGAACAUAGUUGCUUGCACCACCUGGAUAGCUAGCAUUAGCCGGCUAACGUUACUGCUGACUGGUAGCAAGCUAGCAGGCUGGCUACUGGCAUGUUAGCUAGUAGUAGCUAGUGGAAGUAAGUUAGUCCCUCGACCAGCUACAAGAUGAAGCUGCCCGGCCAGAGGUACCUGCUGCAGAAAGGUGAGAUUUCUACAGUACUUUCUGUAGCUAAUUUAGCUAGAUAGUCUGUCCGGCUGGUGCUUAUUGAAUGAGUAGGCUAAUAAUGAACUGCAGUUAUUGUGAAUGGUUACCCAUCUGGCCCUUUGCAUAGCUAUUUCUUACACAUUCAAUACAACUAUAUCCAUUUAAGCUACAGUCAAUGCUGAUAUUGUGUGUGUGUGUGUGGGGGGGGGGGGUCAGAACGUGCCUGCAAAAGGACAGACCGCGCCUGCAAAAGGACAGACCGCAUCUGAGCAGAUCAUCAACUUCAUCCAGUUACAUCAGCCAAUACAGUAAGUUACAAUCGGGGUCUGCCCUGACAGUCCUGAAGAACGACGGAGAGGACUACAUCUUCACCACGGCAAACAGAUCCCUCUGUCCAGACCUUCAGUUCUGCUACCGGUAAGUUAGGGAAGGUGCCUAAGAAACUGGGUGAUAUGUUUAGAAUUCAGGACAGUCUUGUGUUAUGAUGAUUAUCAUAAUUUCCUUUUGUAUCGUGGUACGUUUUACAGUAUUAGUAGUGAACUUGUGGACACAUCAUUGUGCUACUUUUACUUUUUGCACAGAUUGUACCACAGUGUGUUCAGGCAGGCAUAUGGGGAACAGAAUGGGCCUGAGAGGCAUGUUGAGGAGUAUAAUCUUAGGUGCUGGCGAUAUCUGUACCAAGAUUGAGAACCUCUUGUAGGAACACCUCGCGUGGCUAUCUACUCCCCACUGAUGAAGCGUGUCCAUCAGGCCAGACACAGUGAGGAGCUCUGCUUCAUUGAUUUCUCUGGGAACAUGGAACAAGAGAACUGCAGAGGUUUACUUUUUUUCUUCUCUUACCCACAUCUGUGCUGGCGGUCUCCCCCUUGGGGUUUCCUGAUUCAAUCUGAGGAUGAGGCCACAAUCCUCCUGGAGUGUCUUCAACUGUUGAAGGACAUCCUUAGGGAGGAUGCCUUUGCAGGGAGUGGUCAGGCUGAUCCUCACCUCAUUACAGAUGACUGCAAGGCAGAGAGGGGAGCAUUAGGGAGGCCAUUUCCAGGGUCCAAACUGCUCCUCUGCACCUUCCACCUACUCCAGGCAGUGUGGCUGUGGAGAGAGGCAUAGACCUGAGAGACAGGCAGACCCUCUUCGCUGUCCCAAAGACAUCAUGUAUGACAGGGAAGAGAUAGUUGAGCCCCUCUAUCAGCAGGCAGAUCAAAACACAUUUGUAGCCAGGUUAGUGUAGUAUAACAGUAUAAUGAGGUGCAGUCUACUAACUUAUGCUUUAUUUUCAGUAACUUUUCAGUUUUAGUAUUUUCUAAUUGAAAUUUACCCAGUCCUUGUUUGGGAUAUGUUGUUAUUUGGGAUACAUUUUCCCUUUUAUAGUUUGUAACCAGUAUGUGAUAGUUCAAGUACAUAUUUUACUCUAAUUACAGGUACAAGAAAUUCACAACCUACUUCCAUUGACUGUUCACUCGUCUAGAGUGUUGGGCAUUCAGCUAUCGGGAGGAGCUGCCAACCUGAGGGAGUGACACCAAUAAGGCAGCAUGCGGAUCCUUAAGGGUAAACUCCUCCAGAGGACGAAAGUGUUAAAUCUCCCUGCGCCUGAAGGCUUACUAUGAGGCACGGAUGACUGGCAUUGUCCUUGGCCGCCGGGAAAUGUUCCAGCAAUCACAUUUUCUGGCACAGGAUAGUAGCGUCAACCCAUCUGACAUUGAGCAGGUGUGCGGAGAAGCAGUACAGGGUGAAGGGCACCACACCAGGCCAGAUCUAUACUGUGGACAUGCAUUUGUUCAGUAGGGCACACGGGAGCUCCAUGCAGACACCAGGCUGCUGUGGUCCAGAUAUACGAAUGCCUGUCCAGCAACUUCGUCCUGACAACAUUGGAGAUGAGGGAUGAGUUGCUGAAGACAAUAGGAGAUGGAUACCCUUUCACUACCUGUGGUGUGGGAAAAGGAUACAUCAACACCCUGGAGAGAUGUUUGUGGUGCACUCACUCAUAACACGUUUUUGAGUGAUUAAUGAGUAUCAUCUUCAAGGUUGAUAAGAAGCAAUCAGUUACAAGUCAAAAAGACAGAUUGAGGCCUUCAAUCGAACUGAGGACAGAGAAAUAUGUGUGCACCGGGUCAAGGCUUCUUGCAUGCAUAACUUUUAGAUGUUGAAAACAGGUGGUUAAAUGCCUGAAGAAGAUGUGACUCUGCACAUGGGAAUAUCUUUGGUAUGUUCCUGACAUUCAGAAGCUGAGGGCAAAUAACACUGAAACAUGCAUGAGAGCACCAGCUGUUCCGGAAGACUGUGUGAUGACACUCUCCACAACCGAUGUGAGACCUUUUAAACAGGUCAACAUUCACAAGUCCGCAGGGCCAGACGGAUUACCAGGGACGUGUACUGUGAGCCUGUGCUGACCAACUAGCAAGUGUCUUCACUGACAUUUUCAGCCUCUCCAUGUCCGAGUCUGUAAUAUCAACAUGUUUUAAGCAGACCACCAUAGUGCCUGUGCCCAAAAUCACUAAGGUAACCAGCCUAAAUGACUAGCAUUCACGUCUGUAGCCAUGAAGUGCUUUGAAAGGCUGAUCAUGGCUCACAGCAACACCAUUAUCCCAGAAAUCUUAGACCCUCUCCAAUUUGCAUACUGUCCCAACAGAUCCACA